rnacentral:rRNA from 1 species
AAUGAACGUUGGCGGCGUGGAUUAGGCAUGCAAGACGAGCGAGAACCGUAGCAAUACGGGGACAGCGGCGAAAGGGAGAGGAACACGUGGGUACCUACCCUCAGGCUCAGGAUAGCCAUGGGAAACUAUGGGUAAUACUGAAUAAUGUCUUCGGACCGAAGGUGUGAUUCCGUCCGAGGAGGGGCCCGCGUCCUAUUAGCUAGUUGGUGAGGUAACGGCUCACAAAGGCGAAGAUGGGUACGGGAUGUGAGAGCAUAAUCCCGCUCAUUGGGACUGAGACACUGCCCAGACACCUACGGGUGGCUGCAGUCGAGAAUCUUCGGCAAUGGGGGAAACCCUGACCGAGCGACGCCGCGUGCGAGAUGAAGGCCUUCGGGUUGUAAAUCGCUGUCAGUGGGGAGGAAAUGCUGGUGGGGUCUCCCAUCAGUUUGACCUAUCCGCAGAGGAAGGACGGGCUAAGUUCGUGCCAGCAGCCGCCGUAA